rnacentral:rRNA from 1 species
CAGCAGCCGCGGGAAUACAGAGGGUGCAAGCGUUAAUCGGAAUUACUGGGCGUAAAGCGCGCGUAGGUGGUUUGUUAAGUUGGAUGUGAAAGCCCCGGGCUCAACCUGGGAACUGCAUCCAAAACUGGCAAGCUAGAGUACGGUAGAGGGUGGUGGAAUUUCCUGUGUAGCGGUGAAAUGCGUAGAUAUAGGAAGGAACACCAGUGGCGAAGGCGACCACCUGGACUGAUACUGACACUGAGGUGCGAAAGCGUGGGGAGCAAACAGGAUUAGAUACCCGGGUAGUCCCUGUCUCUUAUAA